UUCUCUCUCUUCCUCCCGAUUCUCUCUCUCUCUCCCGCGUCCCUCUUCCUCCUUCUCCGAUUUGCAGACACGGAGCCACCGCCACAGACCACGGCCAGCCCCGAGACCGGACCCAAAACAACCGGCCAGACCUCGCCGACGUCCCCCGACCCAUCUCCAGCCGUCCGCCGCCGCCUCGUCACCGAAAAACGCGAAUUUCAGGCCGAUCCUUGUCUGAGCUUCCAGUCGAUCGUUCUCUCUCCUCCGAGCACUAUUUCAGACGGGUGAGGUAUGGUUUCUCAUCCAAUUUUCGAGUUCUAGCUGAUGAUGGUAUAGGUUUUCAUUGAUUUUGAGUCUAGAAAACCGAUUAGAAAUCUAGGUUUUGGGCCGAAUUUCAAAAGGAAAUUCCGGCCAGUUGCCGGCCGAAUUGGAGCUUCUCGUAGUUGAAUGAAGUGAUCCUGACAUCGAGUAGAAGCUAGGGUAGGAAGGGUGAGCUCGGGUGUGGAGUUUUUCCGUCACCGGAAUUACUCUGCACACCCACGCGCUGCCGGCGCGUGUGGCAGCGCGUGGGCGAGUCUGGUGAGGAUGUAAAUUGACCCGAUGAGAUCCUUAGGUUGUCACGAGCGCAUAGGAAUUCGCGGAUCUCGAUUCGGAUGUCGUUUGGCUAUCGAACGGAUUUUCGCAUAUUAUGCGUUAUUCGGGUUCGAUAGGUUCCGACCGUUAGAUCUUUCCCAAUUUAAAAUAUGUUGUUCUAGGUAUUCCUAGGACCGUAUGGGACUUCACGAAUUCUGAAUCAGAGCCCCGGAUGUUCUGAUUCAAAAAUGCAAAGUUUGCGGGUUAGCGAUAACCGUAAAAUCGUGAACGCUUCCUAAACCUGUAAUCGGACCUUAGGGUACAAUCUUCGACGUGCACGUAUGGGAAUUUGGGGAGUUAAGCACUUAAUUUGUAAUUUCCGCUUAGACGUGGUUUUUAUAUUAAUUAACGGUUCGUAUUUCGAAAUAGGUAUUUCGACUGCACGCACGCAGCAAGCAGGACCUUCACGUGGUCAGGCAGCGAGGGAAUACUUGUGAGUGGACUUUGUUUUAAUCAUAUGCAUGGUUUUAAUUGAUGAGAUGUUUUACAUGAUGUUUUAAUGGCUUAUGGAAUUUAUAUAUUUUAUUCAUGAAUUGAUUUUGAUGGUUGUAUAGCAUUUGGCAAUAUAUUGUGAGUUUGGCGUUUGGGGUUUUUGAGAGUGCAUUUAUAUGGAUAGUGGGGAGGUAUAUUUAUAUAUUCUCAAUAGAUGAGAUAUUUGGGUAGUUGGAGGUUGAGGUGGAAGGAUGUGAUUUUGGAGAUGAGUUGUGUGAUUACACUACGUAAGUACCUUCCCCAGUUUUUUUAGUCUCACUCGCGGCGUUGGAUGUUCCGGCGGGUGAGACACUUUCCGUACGCGGCGUUGGAUGUUCCGGCGUACGGAAAGACUGUGUAUAGAGGGUCAUCACCAUGGCGUUGGAUGUUCCGGUGUGUGAUGAUCCAGUCUGCGCGCGUAGGACAUAGUUUGAGAGCUACACAUGGCGUUGGAAGUUCCGGUGUGUGAGCUUUGGAGUUUCGUCCCCCGGUUGGACCGCUCAUCCCUAGACGCAGGAUAGUACCUGGAAAUCCUGCGGACUAGUCAAACGAUCCCCCAGUUGGAUUGUUUUCCCCGGUACCUAGGUGGUGUGAUGAGUAUAUCGUAUAAUUAUUUAUAGUUAUUUAUAUAUGUAUUUAUAUGUACAUUUAUUGAAUAUGUAUAGUAGUGUGUGAACUGAUUUGGUGUUGUUUAUUAGUUGACAGGAGAGGUGAGUUUGAGGGAAUGGGGUUCUUUUUGGAAAGAGUUGACUGAUGUUUUAGAAGAGUUUUAAUGAACCAUGUUUUGAGUAUAUUAAUUAUUGGAUUGUGAAACUGCAUGACUUGUGCAUUAUUUUUACAUGGUGGGGUUACUAUGUUGUUUUAACUGCAAACCUGGUUUUUGUCCACUCACAUGUUUUCUGUUUUGCGCCCCCCAGCCAGUAGUUGCUCCUGGAAGUACAAGUGGUGUCUGCAGCGGAGUCAGUGCAUCUUUAUAAUUAAGAACUGUGUAAAUUCUUAUACUCGACUGUUCUUGUAAUCUAAAUUCAGUAGAUGCUCUGUAUGCCAUGGUAGAUUUUACUUGUGAGGCCGGAGGCCACUCUAGUAUGACUUGUGUGUGUAUGAAAGCAUGCUGCUGGUUGGGAUUAGUAUUACUGUGUGUUGCAGGUUGAAUAAAUUUUGUUGGGAUUGCUUAAAUUGCAGGGGAGACUCUGCCAAAUUUUUGGUAGAAAGUCUCGAUUAUUUCAUAGGUGGGCCCGGCAUCGGGAUGAUGUCGGGAACAAGACGGGGUCCGCCUCGGUCUUGGGGAAAUUCCGGGGCGGGUCCUGUCAUCGUGUAUCGGGUCGUAUCCGAAAUUGCCACCCCUAAUGGCAG
rnacentral:lncRNA from 1 species